GAAUUUCUUGACGACCAUAGAGCGUUGGAACCACCUGAUCCCAUCCCGAACUCAGAAGUGAAACGAUGCAUCGCCGAUGGUAGUGUGGGGUUUCCCCAUGUGAGAGUAGGUCAUCGUCAAGA
rnacentral:rRNA from 1 species